rnacentral:rRNA from 1 species
GACGAACGCUGGCGGCGUGCUUAACACAUGCAAGUCGAACGGAAAGGCCCUGCUUUUGUGGGGUGCUCGAGUGGCGAACGGGUGAGUAACACGUGAGUAACCUGCCCUUGACUUUGGGAUAACUUCAGGAAACUGGGGCUAAUACCGGAUGUGAGCUCCCGCUGCAUGGUGGGGGUUGGAAAGUUUCGGCGGUUGGGGAUGGACUCGCGGCUUAUCAGCUUGUUGGUGGGGUAGUGGCUUACCAAGGCUUUGACGGGUAGCCGGCCUGAGAGGGUGACCGGCCACAGUGGGACUGAGAUACGGCCCAGACACCAACGGGGGGCAGAAGUGGGGAAUACUGAACAAUGGGCGGAAACCUGACGCAGCACCGCCGCGUGCGGGAUGACGGCCUUCGGGUUGUAACCCGCUUUCGCCUGGGACGAAGCGUGAGUGACGGUAAUGGGUAAAGAAGCACCGGCUAACUACGUG